rnacentral:rRNA from 1 species
GAACGCUGGCGGCGUGCUUAACACAUGCAAGUCGAGCGGAAAGGCCCUUCGGGGUACUCGAGCGGCGAACGGGUGAGUAACACGUGAGUAACCUGCCCCAGGCUUUGGGAUAACCCUCGGAAACGGGGGCUAAUACCGGAUAUUCAUGUCGUGUGGCAUCACAUGGUGUGGAAAGUUUUUCGGCUUGGGAUGGGCUCGCGGCCUAUCAGCUUGUUGGUGGGGUGAUGGCCUACCAAGGCGACGACGGGUAGCCGGCCUGAGAGGGCGACCGGCCACACUGGGACUGAGACACGGCCCAGACUCCUACGGGAGGCAGCAGUGGGGAAUAUUGCACAAUGGGCGGAAGCCUGAUGCAGCGACGCCGCGUGAGGGAUGAAGGCCUUCGGGUUGUAAACCUCUUUCGACAGGGACGAAGCGUGAGUGACGGUACCUGGAGAAGAAGCGCCGGCCAACUACGUGCCAGCAGCCGCGGUAAGACGUAGGGCGCGAGCGUUGUCCGGAUUUAUUGGGCGUAAAGAGCUCGUAGGCGG